UGCUGACGAGUGGCGGACGGGUGAGUAAUGUCUGGGAAACUGCCCGAUGGAGGGGGAUAACUACUGGAAACGGUAGCUAAUACCGCAUAACGUCUUCGGACCAAAGAGGGGGACCUUCGGGCCUCUUGCCAUCGGAUGUGCCCAGAUGGGAUUAGCUAGUAGGUGGGGUAACGGCUCACCUAGGCGACGAUCCCUAGCUGGUCUGAGAGGAUGACCAGCCACACUGGAACUGAGACACGGUCCAGACUCCUACGGGAGGCAGCAGUGGGGAAUAUUGCACAAUGGGCGCAAGCCUGAUGCAGCCAUGCCGCGUGUAUGAAGAAGGCCUUCGGGUUGUAAAGUACCUUUCAGCGGGGAGGAAGGGAGUGAGGUUAAUAAGCUCAUUCAUUGACGUUACCCGCAGAAGAAGCACCGGCUAACUCCGUGCCAGCAGCCGCGGUAAUACGGAGGGUGCAAGCGUUAAUCGGAAUUACUGGGCGUAAAGCGCACGCAGGCGGUCUGUCAAGUCGGAUGUGAAAUCCCAGGGCUCAACCUGGGAACUGCAUUCGAAACUGGCAGGCUUGAGUCUCGUAGAGGGGGGUAGAAUUCCAGGUGUAGCGGUGAAAUGCGUAUAGAUCUGGAGGAAUACCGGUGGCGAGGCGGCCCCCUGGACGAAGACUGACGCUCAGGUGCGAAAGCGUGGGAGCAAACAGGAUUAGAU
rnacentral:rRNA from 1 species